CUGUGAGGCCGACCACCAAGUCUCAGAGAUCUCACACUGAGGAGGGCGUUCAGCAAGAUGCCUCGAAAGCGAGGGUGCGAGACAGAGGGUCGAACAUCCAGCUCCAAGCUGCUACCUACCUCCUGUGCCUCCUGUCGAGUUCAGUACCCUGGUGGAUUCAGGCCCUCCCAGGGGCCUAGGUUCCCUCCCUGAAGUUGGCGAAAGAGAGAGGGAGAGGGAGAGGGAGAGGGAGAGGGAGAGGGAGAGGGAGAGGGAGAGCGACCAUUUCUGAAUCUGAUUCUGUUCCCAAAUACAAACCGUCUAUUUAUUAUUUUCUAUCGCCGUGUGGAACGCAGAUAAUCCCGAAACGGUCACCUCCAAAUCCAAGGCCCAGGCUUCGGGCCUACAGUUGACAUCGAGACAGAUAUUUUAUCGCACCUGUCUCUCCCUCUCUCUUUCUCUAUCUCUCUCUCUCCAUCUCCCUCCCUCCCUCCCUCCCCCUCUCUCUCUCUCUCAGGGGAUGGUGUCGACACUCGGUUGGCACCACAGUCAGGGCCGGGGGCUGGGGGGGGCGGGGGGGAGACAGUGACCGUCAUUUCCAACGGAUGUCACUCACCGUGUUUCAAGGUCGUACCCAUCUCAGGGCCCGAAGGCCGCUCGCCUGGUUCCAGAGGUGCGACCUUCCUCAGGGGGGCGCAGGACCUCGAUCGCUCUGGAGGACUGGAAAAUGGCCGUCAACUGUUUUCAGGAGUGCCAUCUUUUAGAUUAAAUUUCGUGGCCUACCUCUCUCCGAGCAGCGAUUACCGAACUGUUCCUAAUUGACCUCGCCCCCCACCUCCCCCCCAGGAGGAGGGGAACAACGUCCUGUUAAAUCUCCCAUGACGCCUCGGCAGAACUGCGAUCACUCCGUCAGGGCCCCAGCCCUGCGACGCGGCCACCCACUCGAAGCCCUGGGGGCCUGCGGCCUUCCGUGGACCCGAAGCCUGGAACCUGUCAGCCUGCAUCCACGGUAACUGUCCGUUUGACCCAAAUCCCGGUCCCCGUGGAGGCUGAGGUCGGGGAGGUGACAAUGAAGCCUUUCCAUGCAGGCCCGACGGGUUUGCGAGGGGAGCGUUGAAGCCUUUCCGUGGAGGCCCGGGGAGUUUGGGACAGUUCAGGGCUGCCAACUCCUUGCGGUUCGAGGCCUAGCGUGAGGUUCACACCCUCAUUAGAACUCAGAACGCCCGGCACAUUCUGUUACUCACAGAAUCGGGGGGACAAUAGACUCUGACGGGGCAGACAGAUGUGGUGAGGCCUGUGAAUGUAUUUGCACUUUCUGAACAUUUCUUGACAAAUAAAACAUGUCAACAUUC